rnacentral:miRNA from 1 species
ACAGGCAAAGACAAUGACGGC